rnacentral:rRNA from 1 species
GCAGGCUGCAACUCGCCUGCAUGAAGUUGGAAUUGCUAGUAAUCGCGGAUCAGCAUGCCGCGGUGAAUACGUUCCCGGGCCUUGUACACACCGCCCGUCACACCAUGGGAGCCGGUAAUACCCGAAGUCAGUAGCCUAACCGCAAGGGGGGCGCUGCCGAAGGUAGGAUUGGCGACUGGGGUGAAGUCGUAACAAGGUAAC